GACACAUUAGACUCUGUGAAGAUUUUUUUUCAAUUCUCUACGUUUUUAAGUGAAUUCUUAUCUCCGCUUGGCGCGGUGGCCAAAGGGUCGAUGCUCAUUUGCAUGCCCCGCCUUUCCCGUGCGGGUAGGCCGACCCUACCGGCGCCGUUCGGGCUUCCGGACCCUCCUCGGGACGACCUCUGCGCGCAGAAGCGGAAGGUGGGCUGCGGCCGAGCUCCUCCGCGGUACAAGCGCUAGUGAAAUGACCGGACCCAGGGGAUGUGGGCGGCGGCGGACCAAGCGUUCGCGGGGAGGGAGCCGUCGGGUCAUGGCUGGGAAGACGAGAGGGUCCCCCGGGGCUGGCUCGGUCCAGGUCCAGGCCCAGGACUCGGCCGCCGGCCGAGAAACGCCCGACCGGGGUCGCCGGGCAGGGGCCGAAGAGAAAAAAGUUGGUCCCGGAGGUCCGGCCCCGCGAGGGCUGACUCCCUCCCUGGAAAGAGCUCUACCGGGACCCCCGCCCUACCCAGCGUCACGCCCGCCUUGGGGACUGAGGGAGCGUCAGCGGAGCUCCCGAGGCCGCCGGGUGUGGGGCCUGUGUCCGCGAGGUCCGGUGCGGUUUCAGUGCCGGGGCUGCGACCCGGAAACAGCUGGGCCCGUAGGUAUCGCGUGGGCCCGGCCGCGGACAAUACACAGUUUACCUGCAGGGCCAGUAGUUGAGACCGAGAGGUCGGGCCGCUUGCCCCCAACCACCGGGCUGUUACACAACAAAAGCGUUCACUUCCAAAGUCUGCACGUCUAUGACUCGCAACAGAGCUGGGUCAGCGGGGGUGACUGUGCCGUGGGGAGGAGACUCUCCUACAACAGCCAGCAUAGUGAGGGCUGCAGGUGCCCGUGUCUAGAAGAGCUCGGGUGGGACAGCUUGCCGCAGCCUUGCUGCUCACGGCGUGAUACUGACCAGCAGCACUGGCGUCACCGAGGAGCAUGUUAAAAACGCAGGAACAUGGGUCUCAGACCUGCUGAAUCCGAAUCUGUUAACAAAACUCCCCUGGAAGGCACACGCACGUUCAAGUUUGAGAAGCGUUCUGCUACUGGACUUGAUGGCUGAAGGAGAGAGGCUGAGGGAGAAGCAGCGAAUAUAUUUUUCAGGAUUUCAACUGCCACUACCAACAGAUGAAAUCCAAUUCCUCACCACUCUUUUCUCGCCCUUGCCUUCUAAGUCCCUGCAGAGAGUCUGCAAAGCAGUUUCUAGAAUCUUCUGGUGGUGAGAGAGGAUAGGAAGGCACCCAUAACACCUGAGCUACAUUUUUCUUUUUGAGUUGUGACUCGGAGGCUCUAAGAACUAUGGGAGUUACAUAUGAUGACGGUUAAAGAGGUAUAUAUGGGCCUGCGGAAUGCCCGGCCCACACUCCCCUCACUCCCAGUGUGCUCUGGAUCUUGGGGCUAAAACAUAAGAGUUUGUGUGCUGGAGAGCAAGUUUCAUGGCCAGCUAGACUGGAUCCAUAAAAGUAGUUAGACUCAAGGAAAAGAAUGAAACUAAAAUAAAAUCAAAACACCCCCCUCCCCAAACAACAACAAAAACAAUAACAAAAAACUAGUUAGACUCAACUAAGAACUUGGCUUCAAAACUUCCUUGCCAUUAUUGAGUGCCCACUGGUGUGCCAGCAAAUCCCUACGAUUUCUUUCAACAACGAAAGGUGUUAUUUUUCCAAUUUUGUGUCUGAAGAAACUGAGGCUGCUGAGGCUGAAUUCCCAAAGUCCUCAGGUUUCUUCUUCUUCCUCCCUAGGCAUUAAGGGGGCCCUGUGCUCCUGGCUGGCAGUUUUAUAUCUUUAUUAUGGAUGGAUCCUUAUUCCCAUCCACUUUGUGAGAAAGCAGUGGGUGGUCACUUUGUAUGUUAUCUGAGGAAGAUAUUCCACAACUGACUUCCUGGGCCAGUGUUUUUUGUUAUUGGUUGAGAUAAACUAAUUUAUUACCAUCAUAAUAGCUACCAGGUAUAGAGGAUUUGUAUAUGCCAAGCCCUUUGCUGAGUACCUCACUUACUUUGUUUUCAUAAUAACCCUAUGAAAUAAGUAUUAUCAUCCGACUUUCCAGAGGAAGAGAUUGAGGCUGGGAGAGAUAAGCAACUUGCCCAAGUGCUCACUGGGAGAUGUUAAAGUCAGGGUUGGAACUCAUCUUCCCAGCCGGUGGGCCUCAGAGUGUGGUCCCAGGGCCGGCAGCAUCAGUCUCACCUGGGAACUUGUUGGAAAUGCUCAUUCUCCACCGGGGACUGACUUGGCUGACAGAAAUUCUGGAAGUGGGCCCAGCAAUCUGUGUCUUGUCAAGUCCCCCACAUUAUUCUGAUGUGUUCACAAAUUUGGGAACCACUCUUUGAAGCUAUAGGCUCUCAAUGUAUGCAAGGCAACAUUGGUGACAGCUCUCAAAUGCUGAAGACUGGAUCCAACUGUUAAGGUCACUGGGGAUUGGUUCCUGUUGUGGAUGCUGCGAGGAGCCCAUCAGCUGGGGUAACUGGCCAGGCAUCCUGUUCCCUUCAGAGUGUGGGCCAGCUCUCCCCCUUCCUCAUCUCCCUGCAUCUCUCUAACUGGGUUGUCCCUGCCCCCUUGCCAUUGCUCCCCAGGCAUUUCCACCCUCUCGGGGCUCCUUGUUGCUGUUUCUUACCGACCACCCAAGUCCCCUCCUCCAGCCAAGGCCACCCCAUGCAAAUGGAUGCUGGACACCCGUGCCCACGUGGGUCUUUCCCCACAAACACUGCAACAUGGCUGCAAACUGAGCUCUUCAUUACCUUCCUGCCCUGCAGCCUCCUCCUACCUCCGUCUUCCCUGCCAGGUCCUCAGUAAAAGUGUGAGAAAUAGAAUUAAAAUUAGAUUUUUCUGCUCAAAUAAUGUUCAUUCAAAUCUGAUCUCACCUCCACAACAAACAAACAAACUUGAAGAGGGCAGAGUUGCCAUUCCCAACCCCAAACUGUACAAGGCCCUGUCUGAAAGGACUGCAGGAGGCGAAGGAACCUGUAGGACUUCAGGCUCGCCUCUCCUUUUCCUCAGGAGCCAGGCAGUGGCGCGCAUAGCCACCAGGGCGCAGCAUCUGCCGCUUCCCAGCCGUGGCUGGGGGCUGGGACUUGGUUUUGGAAGGGUUGCCUCUGAAGGGGCCCUUGGGAGGGGAGGAGGGUACCUAUGGGGCCCACACAUUCCUCCCGCCCCCAAUUCUAAGAGGUAGGUUGUGUUUUCUCCAUCUUAUUGUUGAUGAAACAAAGCUGGGAUUUGAAAAAUGGAUCUUUGUGAUUCAGAAGCUAACAGCUGCUCCUUGGAAUCCACUCCCCCACCCCGCCUCUCUCUCCCUAUCAUUCGUCCACUCAGACAAGCACUUGGGUUAGGAUGCUGUGCGGCAGAGGCAGGGAUGUUCGCAGUGCCCUGGUCGGUGUGGUUCAGUUGAUGAUGUGUCAUCCCGUGCACCGAAAGGUUGCCAGUUGGAUUCCUGGUCAGGGCACAUGCCCAGGUUUUGGGUUCAGUCCCUGGUUGGGUUUGUAUGGGAGGCAAUUAAUCAAUGUCUCUUGCAUAGAUGUUUCAAUGUUUCUCUCGCUCUAA